rnacentral:rRNA from 1 species
UACGUAGGUGGCGAGCGUUAUCCGGAUUUAUUGGGCGUAAAGCGAGCGCAGGUGGUUUAUUAAGUCUGGUGUAAAAGGCAGUGGCUCAACCAUUGUAUGCAUUGGAAACUGGUAGACUUGAGUGCAGGAGAGGAGAGUGGAAUUCCAUGUGUAGCGGUGAAAUGCGUAGAUAUAUGGAGGAACACCGGUGGCGAAAGCGGCUUACUGGACUGUAACUGACGUUGAGGCUCGAAAGCGUGGGGAGCAAACAGG